rnacentral:lncRNA from 1 species
ACUGUCUCUAGUUCUUUCGGUCUCACCCACUGUCAUUGCAGUUAACCUCCCUGAGGUGGUUUCAACUGCAAAUAUCUUGCUCUUGGUAACUCCUAAAUUCCAGUCCUACAAUAUGGUGUACCUCCCGAGCAUUUGCAAAUAUGACAAAUCUGAAGCUAUCCCCGUGGAGGUAGCUGUGUCUGGAAGACAGUAAGAGAUGUGUGUCCUCAUGGAAGAUUCCAGCAUGUCCAAUGGCAUCGAUGUGGACAAAGGCUUUGCCAUUGCCUUCGUUGUCCUUGUGUUUGUGUUCCUAAUAGUGAUGGUUUUUCGGUGUGUAAAGUUGGUGAAGAAUCCCUAUGAGGUCAGCUCUACAACCGCAGACCUGCCUCUGAAUUGAAGUACCAUCAAACCUAGAGGUCUCCUCUUGACAAGAGACUUGCAAUCAUUUUUUAGUGGAGCAGUGCUUUUAGCAGGGUCUUAUACAGCCAAGACUUGCCUCAAAACCCUGAACCCUGUUUCUCCUCCCCCUCCUAAAUACCGGGACUACAAAGAAUGCUCCAUCACAACAUUUAAAAUCUUUUAUAUUGAUGUGUAUGAUCCAGACUUUAUAUCCCCUUACCUCUGCAUUUCUCAAGCUUGCAAUCUUAUGUUCUGUAACAAGCAUGUAGGAGUAUCUCACCAGAGAGAAAAGUGGGGCUAUUUUUCGUUGUUCUUUUUCAGGGAAUCCAUUACUAAAGUUGAACUUAUUGACUAGAAAAAAAAAAAAAAAAAAAAAAAAAAAAAA